AUUAAAAUGAGGACAACCCAUUCAAAGGCGUUUUUCAGAAACCUUUUUUCUCUUUUCCUUCAGAUUGAAAACCUGUCCCUGAGAAUUUAAGCCCUUCUCGUGGUACCUGCUCUCCCAGGGACGCUCGCUGUACCCCGGAACUUCCCUGGGGCCUCACUGCCCAGUGACGCCACUCACCUUGCCCACUGGCACCAGCGUGAAGUCAGAACCGCUGGAGGAAAUCCUGCCGGCCUUCCCUGGAGCUGGUCUGCAGGCUCCUCUGUGGGAUCCUGUCCUCCAAGAGCACCCCUCCUGCACACAGAGAGCCCAGAGUGCCUCGGGGAAAAUUGGCUGAAUAAAAGGUAUAAAGACUUUUUCUUUUUUUGCUGAAUAGUUUUUGACAGAUAUGAGCAUGUUGAACAUCUUG
ensembl:lincRNA